rfam:Pan troglodytes isolate Yerkes chimp pedigree #C0471 (Clint) chromosome 16, whole genome shotgun sequence.
GCUGGGGGCAUGCCUGUAGUCCCAACUCCUCGGGAGGCUGGGGUGGGAAGAUCGUUUGAGCCCAGGAGUUCUGGGCUGUAGUGCGCAAUGCCAAUCAGGCGUCCACACUAAGUUUGGCAUCAACUAUGAUGACCUCCUGGGGCUGGGGGACCACCAGGUUGCCAGGUGGCAAACAGCAGGUCAAAACUCCUGUUCGGAUCAGUAGUGGGAUCAUGCCUGUGAAUAGCCACUGCACUCCAGCCUGGGCAAUAUAGAGACACCCUAUUUCUA